GCGUUCCCGCUGUUUGGGGUCUUAUCCCUUCGGGAAUCUGCGAAGUAGCAGGCCCACUUCCGCGUAAGCAAGAAAGAAGCUUCACGCCUGAAAAUGCAAAAAAGGAACGUAGGAAAGCGUGACCCGCGAGAAGCAGGAAAUGGACUCAGUCAUUCUCCAAGAAACUUUAGUUCAUUGGAAGGACUGAUGCUGAAGCUGAAACUCCAAUACUUUGGCCACCUCAUGCGAAGAGUUGACUCAUUGGAAAAGACCCUGAUGCUGGGAGGGAUUGGGGGCAAGAGGAGAAGGGGACGACAGAGGAUGAGAUGGCUGGAUGGCAUCACCGACUUGAUGGACAUGAGUUUGGGAUCCUGAAUUGUACUUCUCUUAAAGUCUUUUUCAGGCUGUGCUGUCAUUUUCAUCAAGUGGAUCGAAAUUUUAAAAGAUGUUUGUUGGCUGUUUUUAUCAUUAGUUUUCUUGAUGUUUUGAAAUUUUG